CAGCACGGGAGCAAUCCUGGUGGCGAGUGGCGAACGGGUGAGUAAUUAUAUCGGAACGUGCCCAGUCGUGGGGGAUAACGUAGCGAAAGCUACGCUAAUACCGCAUACGAUCUAUGGAUGAAANCGGGGGAUCGCAAGACCUCGCGCGAUUGGAGCGGCCGAUAUCAGAUUAGGUAGUUGGUGAGGUAAAGGCUCACCAAGCCGACGAUCUGUAGCUGGUCUGAGAGGACGACCAGCCACACUGGGACUGAGACACGGCCCAGACUCCUACGGGAGGCAGCAGCGGGGAAUAUUGGACAAUGGGCGAAAGCCUGAUCCAGCCAUGCCGCGUGUGUGAAGAAGGUCUUCGGAUUGUAAACACUUUAAGUUGGGAGGAAGGGCAGUAAGUUAAUACCUUGCUGUUUUGACGUUACCAACAGAAUAAGCACCGGCUAACUUCGUG
rnacentral:rRNA from 1 species